rnacentral:misc_RNA from 1 species
AACGGUCUAUACCUGCGGUACCUGCGGAGGGAUCAUUACCGAGUUUACAACUCCCAAACCCAAUGUGAACGUUACCAAACUGUUGCCUCGGCGGGAUCUUCUGCCCCGGGUGCGUCGCAGCCCCGGACCAAGGCGCCCGCCGGAGGACCAACCAAAAACUCUUUUUGUAUACCCCCUCGCGGGUUUUUUAUAUCUGAGCCUUUCUCGGCGCCCCUUCGUGGGCGUUUCGAAAAUGAAUCA